CUAAAUAAAUCAAAACUUUCAACAACGGAUCUCUUGGUUCUGGCAUCGAUGAAGAACGCAGCGAAAUGCGAUAAGUAAUGUGAAUUGCAGAAUUCAGUGAAUCAUCGAAUCUUUGAACGCACAUUGCGCCCCUCGGUAUUCCGGGGGGCAUGCCUGUUC
rnacentral:rRNA from 1 species